CCACUACGUCAGGGGAGUCCCGCCCAAGGGACUGAGAGGCUGAUUGACGGCGGAAACCCCGCCCGAGGUGACGCGACCCUUAGAACCUGACCCAGUUGAUGCUGGCGUAGGAAGACCGAAGGGCAAUUCC
rnacentral:ncRNA from 2 species